rfam:Schistosoma mattheei strain Denwood, Zambia genome assembly, scaffold: SMTD_scaffold0011163
AUCCAGCUGACGAGUCCUAACUAGGACGAAACUCCCGUCAAACUGGAU